CGGCGGAGUAGCAGCAGCCGGACCAGACUCCCUAGUAGCUCAGGCGCUGCACUGCGCCGGCCCUGGCAGGGAGCCUGGUGAGAUGGUGGAGGAGGAGGCUGUGCCGUGGCUGGCCUUGCUAUGUCCUGCUGCCUGUCAGCUUUCAAAAGUCAGACUACAACUGAAUCAAAGAAUUACACAAGAAAAGGGAAACUGAGUCAUCCUUCAGCAACUCCAGGAACAAAUCAAGGUGCAGUGUCUCACGCCUGUAAUCCUAGCACUUCGGGAAACUGAGGCGGGCAGAUUGCCAGAGCUCAGGAGUUCGAUACCGGCCUGGGCAACAAGGCAAAACCCCUCUCUACUAAAAAUACAAAAAAUUAGCUGGGUAUGCUGGUGCGCACCUGUAAUCCCAGCUACUUGGGAGCCUGAGGAGUGAGAAUCACUUGAACCCAGAAGGCGAAGAAUGCAGUGAGCCAAGAUUGUGCCACUGCACUCCAGCCUGGAUGACAGAGCAAGACUCUGUCUCAGAAAAAAAUAAUUUAAAAAGAUGAUUCUUGUUCCCUCCCCAUCCUUACCUUUUUUUAAUGAGGAAAGAGAAUAUUUCCCUGUAUCACUGACUUUGGGCUUGGCUAUGUGACUGCUCUACCCAAUAGAAUUUGGGUAGGUUAAUAGUAAUAGAAGUAACUAAGCAGAACUUUAAAGAAGCUUCUCCUCUUCAACUCUUGCUUAUAAAGCAUUAUAAAAAUCAAUAUAUAUAAAGCAUUAUAAAAAUCAAAUGCCCUAAGUAGUCUGUGUCCUUCAACAUGGGUCCAGGAAUGAGAGACACCUGGAGCACACCUGACUCUCAUCUGUAGUCUAAGGUAGAACUGCUGCAACCAAUUCGCAAAAUUCAUGAGCAAGGAGUAAAUGCUUGCUGUUAUUGGUCAGUAACUUCUUGUCAUGUUUCUUAAGCAUUAUUGGAGCAAAAGCAAACUAAUACAAACGUUAAUGUAAUUCCUUUGCUUGUCAUUGAUUUAGAGAUGAAUAUUUGUCCUGUUUCCAGGUAAUACAAUGUAUUUAGGAAGAAUGCCAAAGGAGGGAGCUUAUUAGUAGGAUUUUGACCUCUAAUGAAAAUGAUGGCCAAAUAUAUGAAAUUUUUUCUUUCUUUGGUUUUUAUUGUUUAAAGACAUAAUUAUUUAAGUUGUGUUAGUUGUGUGUGAUCUUAUAACUGUGAGGAAUUACAUAGAAUGAAAAUGGAAUGUGCUGUGGUGGCAGAACAGAAAGAAGUUGGGUGAUUGACAUUGUUGAGCUGCUGCAGGAAAUCUGUUAGUCUCCAUUUCCAGAGGUCUUGCUAUGUAGAAAAAUUGGAUGACUUUAUUGCUUAAGUCACUAUAAGAAUGUUUUCUGUUACCUGCAACCCAAUGCACCCAACUAAUAAAGUACGUUUCUAGAAAUA
rnacentral:lncRNA from 1 species